GUCUGACACGCACCGACGGUGGCAAGUCUUGCUCCGACAUUCGGUCGCGGCGCCAUGAC
rnacentral:ncRNA from 1 species